UGAAGCUUCACUAAGAGAAGAAAGAAGAGAGGAAGGGGCCAACAAGGCGAAAGGAAUAAAUCAUUGAGAAGAGUCACCACCGAAGACGUCCAAGAAUCCCACCUCUUAUCAGUGUUUCCCUGUUCCUUACGUGGACCUGACGGAUAGCCUAGGGACCCUUACUGGAUACAGACGCCCUGGUUUGGAGUCGAUCCAACGACUCCUGUUCCAAAAGGCAUGUAGUCUGUAGUUUUCAGCAUUUCAUUCUGACAUUCAUUCUUUUCGGUUGUCGCACUAGCCUCUCUUCAUCUCGGUCUCUCUAUAUUCACUGCCCAUCCAUUUCUCCAUCAUAUCUUUAAUUGUCUCUCCUGUCAAAUUGUAUUCAAGUUUUAAUUUGUAUUAAAUGUUUAAUUUUGCACCAUUUUUGAUAAGAGUAGAAAAUUUUAUGCUAUAUAAAUGUGAACUGCAAUAGUCUGUAGUUCUGUAUGAUAGGAUUUUGAUUAUGAAUGUUGUUUAUUAAAAUGAGCCUAUAGGCACCACUCUAAUUACCAAGGGUAUUGUAUCUAUGUAAUUAGACACACUGAGUGUAGAUAUGAUCAGAGUUGAGGGACCUGAUGUUCUUUCACACCUUGUCCAGCAUCUCUUCCUUUCUCAGUGCUGGGCUGACAGUGACUUUGCAUUGUCACUUUUAUGUUUUCAGGGAAGAAACUGACAUUUGUGUACAAAUUUUUACCAGCCCUGUUGUGAUAAUCUUACUUUAAAAAUAAAAACCUAAUUUUAAACUGUAUUUUAGCCCUUGACACAAAUUGUAUGUGUCUGCUGGGUAGAUUUGAGUUAUCAGGUGGCAGCAUGCAAGUUAAGUGAUCAAUUAACUAGCGACCUGUGUUUAACAGUGCAACUACAGUUUAGUGGAAGUAUAUUUCAUAUGAUGCCAGAUGAUGAAUAGCAAUAUCACUCCUGUCACCUGUAUCAUGAGGAAUUGAUCUGUGAAAUCCUGAGGAUAACCAAACCUAAUGAUGAGAGCUGGGUCUACAUCCCAAAGCGUCGUCUUCAAGCCCCAAAGCCUUGUCAGUUCAAGAGUGUGAGAUGUGGUGUACAGGAGCAUACUGUCAUAUUCCACAUCCACAGGAUUCUGUAUUGUACAGUUUGCCCCCAUGGUCAGACUGUCAAUGCUGAGUUUUACUGAAAUGCAAAGAGGUGUGUUACAGACUAAUAAGACAAAUAAAAUGUAAUGCAAUGUGUUGGCAGUCUUGUGGGUUUAGAAGUGAGAUGUCUAUUAAUUGCAAACCUUCUGUAAUUUCUCCGUGAGGGCUUGUAUUUUGUCCAAGUGAGACUAUGAUUGUUUAGAGGCAUAUUGGCUCCCACCAAGCAACCUGUGCAAUUCUCUUGCAACCAAUUAGUUAAGUGGACAUCACCGUAAACAUCUGAGAACCAGCUGCUUACCAAAGGAUUGUAAAAAAAAAAAAAAUUAAUAAUAAAAAAAAUGCAGUGAAGUCAUCUGGCAACCACCUAUUUUAUGUAUAGUCACCAGGAGGUUUCAUCAUAUUUUUAGUCUAGUGAGUCAGAAUGUAGAUACGAAUAACACAAUUCAAAAAUAUAUGGGCGUGGGAAAUAAAAAAAUAAAAUAAAAAAAGAGGAAAUUUUAGAUCUUAUCUACUUGGUGGCAUAUCUCACAGCUGAUGUUAAAUAGAUCAAUAAACUGAAUGAGUAUAGAAGAAGCCAGUAUUUUGUUGAGAUGAAGAGCCAGCAGCUUUUUCUGGUUGUUUGCAUAUUGGAUAAACUUAUCUUUCACAGGAAAUUGAUGGAGGACAGCAUGCUUGGCAAACUGCCUGUCAAGGACUAAGCAGUAAACC